UAAAUUGAUUUGAACCUUUAAAUGAGAGAUGCAAGUUCGCAUAUGAUACUAAUGUUGGCAGACUUUAUUAAAUCUGAUUCAGACGCUAUGGCAGUUGGGCAUAAAUUUUGUGAGGCUUAGAACUUUCAAUCUAGGGAUAAGUAGCCCCAUUCAUUGCACCUUUCUUUAAAUGUCUAGAUGUGAGUGGGAUUUAGGCAGAUUUGUAAAGGUAAACACUUACCUAAGAACCAGUGAGGUAGGGUUUUAAGAAUAAUUCCAUUUGAUUGUACUUCAGAAAAAAGUUAUAAUUACACGGAUGGGAAGCAAUAGAUUUUGGGAGUUUUAAAGCUAUGCCUUGUAUUAGACCUCGGAUAAUGCAGAGGAGUUCUGGUCUUGCUAUAAUAUAUAUAAAUGUUGGGGUGCCGAGAAGGAUGACAAAAGGUAACUGGUUGAGGAACUUUCCAUACAAAGAUAAUUAACGCCUAUAAAAUGGUACUCGGGAAAGGCGGGAAAGGUGCAA